rnacentral:rRNA from 1 species
GACGAACGCUGGCGGCGUGCCUAACACAUGCAAGUCGAACGGGGUUACGAGAGCUUGCUCUUGUAACUUAGUGGCGAACGGGUGAGUAACGCGUGAGAAACCUGCCUCUCGAGUGGGGGACAACAGUUGGAAACGACUGCUAAUACCGCAUAACACUUUAGUACCGCGAUGGUACAGAAGUCAAAGCUUUAUGUGCUGAGAGAUGGUCUCGCGUCUGAUUAGGCUAGAUGGCGGGGUAACGGCCCACCAUGGCGACGAUCAGUAGCCGGUCUGAGAGGAUGAACGGCCACAUUGGGACUGAGAUACGGCCCAGGACUCCUACGGGAGGCGAGUCAGUGGGGGAAUAUUGGGCAAUGGGGGAAACCCUGACCCAGCAACGCCGCGUGAAGGAAGAAGGCCCUUCGGGUUGUAAACGUUCUUUACCUAGGG